UUAUACAUUUAAAUAUUUUUUUUAUUAACAAUAUCACUCGCUUAAGUAUCUUUUUGGGGAUGCGAUACAGCUAAGAGCCUCGUGAUAUUCCAUCAAUUUCUUUAACAUCGUUACGCCAUUAUGUGAUUAUUAGUUACUGAAAUCAUCGUGUGCAUGUCAAUCGAUAAAGUUAAUUUGGACCUAAGAUAUCAACGUGCCCCAAGGCCUCCGACUGAUUAUCAUGACAAUUUAAUGUAAACAUCUUGCAACAGAUGAAUUUUUGGUAUUGCACGUAAUUUUUGUAAAAUAAUUUGCAUCUGCAUUGUAUUAACUACGCGUUCGAUAGCUUAGACUCCUACUGAUAACACCUCACGUGGAACAUAUGAACAUAACAAAUUAAUGUUAUACAACGAUCAUCAGUUUCUCGUUUCUUGAUGCAUAACGAUGACUCGUCAUCGACUCAAAUACAUAUCGAUUGUUAUUUACAAUAAUAAUUUUUCAACAAUAUUUCAAGACCCAAUAAAUAAUACAGCAUCAGGUUCCGCAUAAAUAAAAUGGCAAAUGAGGUCAGAGUUUCUAUGCCAAUAUCUAGUUACGUUAUUACGAAUUUCUACUUGCUAAUUAAACUUAGAUUUUUUAAUACAAUGUUUGUGCUAUAUAUAUGUGUCGAGUUUAUCCUUCGAUUAAGCGAGACAGCAUUAAUUAAACGAAAAUAUUAACUUCGUCAAAGUUCUGUGAUAAUUGUCAGAUAUCGAUUGAGUGGACGGCUAUGACGCGAGACAUAUGUGGAUGGGUGUGUGUGUGUGUGUGUGUAUGCAACGUGUAAUAUUGAUACGUGCGUGACACGCACCCUACGCUCACGCACUUUACCCCUAGCCAUUGGAGUACAUGCAAUUUACCGUGUAUACAGUUAACGCAACGUGUCUAUACCUAUAUAUAUAUAUCAGGGACGUAAAUAGAUAAAAAAUUUACAUGGUUUCAUGAGGUAACAAAUUUUCUCCAAAAACAUUAAAGCCCGGGUUGAUCGAUAUCAAUUAAAAUGUAACUAAGGGUUAAAUGCCACGUGAAUCAAUCACGUGUAUACAUUCAGACAAUUAGCUCUUAAUUAAAUUUUAAGUGACAUUGCUGAAACCCUGCCUAAGCGGAUGAACAAAAUUAAUGAAAAAAAAAUUAAAGUUGACUUAAUUGAUACUGUAGGAAGUUUCAAUAAAAAUUAAAAAAUUGAUAAUACCAGACAAUGCUUUUCCUGGUUAAGGGUGACUAGAAUGUAGGCACGUGAAUUCACCUAACCCAACAUGACGUUACUACAUUAUUAUAUUUUAAUGACUGUUUUUGACCACGAAUGCGUCACACCCUAUGAGAAAGUGAUGGUAAUGGCCAUUGUUGAUUAGCGUCAUUCAGUCUUCAAAGGGAAUCGAGUGUACGCCACAAGCCAGCCAUUGGAUUUUCGUUAAUACGAAGGUAUAAAAAAAAAGGCUAACGGAGGACUUUGACAAUAUGGUAAUGGAGGAAUAUGCUCACAGUAAUUGUCAUGAAAAUCUAUGGACAGUAUCGUUUUGGAUGCCGUCUGUCAUUUACUAAAAAUAUAACAUUUAUGGAAUGAACAACCUCGGCUGUAUUUAUUACCGGAAAUAGGAAGGUUCACUACUAUUUAUAGAAGCAAAGAGUUCUCUGUUGUCGGAUGAUAUUUUACGGUUGCGAUGAGACAUUCGUGUUUGUCACAACGUAACGUCGCACGCGAUCUUCAUGGCCAAUAUUAUAAGAUAUUACUGUAGGUUAAAUCCUACGGGGAAUCUCCUUCAAUUUAAAUUACAAACACAGGAAGUAGCAUUCCUGCAAGUUCCUAAGAAUCCAACGUUGACAAUCUUAUACAACUUGAUUUUUGUUAUAUAAUGCACAAAUUGUCCUCCGAGGUGUUGCUUCACGGAGUGGCUGAACUGAACUAAGGACUCGUUUCCUGCCGACGGAAAUAUUUAUUAUCCACAACAAUGCAGGGUCGUUACAAAUUUGAAGAAAAGCCUGGAAUCGAUCUCGUAUCAUUACCUUAGCUUUCAUUAAUCAAAGCAACCAAUCGCGCGAGCUUCGACGCUCUGGCAUCGCCAUGAACUACCAGGUUCCCCAUCAGUGUGGAUCAUAUUUGUCAAUCUAUAAAGUGACUGGCUGAUUUGACAAUGUUCCGCUAUGACCAUUUUAUGCAUUGUCAAAGGAACACUGAAAGAACCCAUGUACAACGCAGUGACCUUGAAUGGAAAAGACGAAAUAAACAUCAGGACGAAUAGAAAAGAUUCAGACUAUAAGAAAUACGUUAUAUUCAUAUUAUAUGCAUAGUUUUUCAAGACUACUGUAUCACUUGCAGAUCGUUAUGUCUAUUUGAUUUCCAUUAAUUCCUAUGGUAGAACCACAAGGACUAUGAUUAGUCUAUACUCUGCAUUAGUUUCCUUUAAGAAAGCAGACGAUAAUAAAAUCGUAAGUCAUUCAUUAAAUAACAUAAUAAAAUACGACCAACACACCAUACGUAAACAGAAUUAUUAUAAAUAUAAAUUCAAUUAUGUAUUCUCAGACAUGCUCACAUAAUUAUUCCUGGAAUUUUUAUUUAUCACGAGGUCCAAACUACGUGGUCUGCUACACUACAUGAUCCCUCUUUUUCUCUCUUUAUGGAGAGAUUAAAUAAUUUUCCAAGAAAUAAGCAGAAUCCAUCCCUACCUGGUAAGUCCCGAGUCUAAGUGAUCUUUGGACUUUGUAUUCCCAGAUGAGUUCUUAGUCCUGUUGUCGCCAACACUCAUAAUAAUCCCCGAAGACGCUGUUGACGAGGAGAAUUAAAAGACACACGUGGCACAGUAGCAACAUGCUGAGAAAUUCUAAGAGAACGACAUAGUCAUAAGUGAUACGUGAUGAGAGACGAAGAGGAAGACGACGCAUGAGCGAAUGAAGCAGAUAGAAAAUUAAUAAUGAAGAGGAAGUGACGGAAGAGUGAAGAACGGACACGAGCAGAGUACCGCCUUGACAGGAGACACUCAAGAAUUAAUAUAAGCCUCGUUGGACAUCCUUUCUUGAAGGAUCAUCAGAGAGAUUCGUAUAUGAAAUCUGUAAAUACUCAAUAGUACAUAAUGUAUGUACUAUUGAGUCUUUGAGAAUGAUAGUAGUGAAUACCGAGUUGUGGACACCUAAUUAUUCAUUUGCUGCUGCGUCCGGGAGAUUGGAGUGCGAGAAGAGAAAGAGGUGAUAAUAUUAACUGCGGGCAUCGCUGUCAGACGACCCCGGGCUAUCAAAGUCCGAGCAGUCCCGGGUCAUCCAUCCAUCUCUGUAGUAAGCAGAUAUUGUUUGCAGGUUUACCAACACUGAGAUUAUGACACGUGUGAACAAUAUACAUCAGUACGUACACAGAUGUGAAAUACGGUUUUAACGAUACAAGGUUGACUUGAAAGAUUCAAAAUUAAACCAAGUAGAACCGAAUCACGUACAAAAAUAUAAACAAUGGCCGCAGAGAGUAAUAUGCGUAAAAAAAAAGAUUUAUUUCUGAAAGGAAAACUUGAAGCUGUUUAAUUAAAAAAUGUGCACUAUAUGU